UACGUAGGGGGGCAAGCGUUGUCCGGAAUCAUUGGGCGUAAAGCGCGCGUAGGCGGCUCGAUCAGUCUGCUGUGAAAGUCAAAGGCUCAACCUUUGAAUGCCGGUGGAAACUGUCGGGCUAGAGUCCGGAAGAGGCGAGUGGAAUUCCUGGUGUAGCGGUGAAAUGCGCAGAUAUCAGGAGGAACACCGGUGGCGAAGGCGGGUCUCUGGGCAGUGAACUGACGCUGAGGCGCGAAAGCCAGGGGAGCGAACGGG
rnacentral:rRNA from 1 species